ACUGUGUUAGUCAUCUGUUCACCCUAACCCAGCCUAUUUUCUGUGACCCACGUUUGAGUUAACAAUGUGAAGAAAGUCCUUCUGAGAAAUGAGGCACAUCCGGCUUUUCCUAGGACUCAUUAGUCCAUCAGAAACGCUACCUUCCGAUAUUCCCAUCCCACCUCCCAACCCUCUGUCCCUGUGCAGCCUCUCUGCACAGUCCAGCACAAAGCUCCCUAGACAUUUGUCAGAGGAUGCGAGGCUGAGAAAGGCCUUAUCCAAUGAGGAAUUUCUAUAGCGAAGCAAGAAGGCCAGAAGACCUUGAGAAGCACGACCACAGUCUACUGCCUCCUGAGGGCAGAGCUAAGGGUAUGUCCUAGCCCAGCCUAUAUGCAGCCUGCCAGGCCCAGCUGUUCAGGGUCGUGUGAACUCCAAGAAGGAGAGCAUGCAAAGAGAGGCUCCAUUGGAAGCCGAGGCCUAUUUCAGAUUGAUACUCUCAGACAAAUCUUACAAAGUAGCUAGUAUGACCUACAAACAAAAGGAAUGCACUACCAGGGCAUCUCCAAAAAAGCUAAUCUGGAAAACAAAGGACAAAAGGAAACUUACUGUAAAAACGUCAUCAUCACCAAGCUCAGCUUCAUUAUGGAUGGUGGAAGAUGAUGUUGUUGAGCCUAAAAAGACAAAAAUGUAAUAAAAAGUGUUUCCUAAGAGGAUAAAUCAAAUCCAACCGUUUAAAAAAAGGAUAUUUAAAUAAAACCACAUUCUAUUACUUUGCAUGUGAA